AUUGAACGCUGGCUGCAGGCCUAACACAUGCAAGUCGAGCGGAGCGGCGGACGGGUGAGUAAUGCCUAGGAAUCUGCCUGGUCGUAGGGGAUAACGUCCGGAAACGGGCGCUAAGACCGCAUCCUAUCCGAUGAGCCUAGGGCGGAUUAGCGAGUUGGUGGGGUAACGGCCUACCAAGGCGACGAUCCGUAACUGGUCUGAGAGGAUGAUCAGCCACACGGGAACGGAGACACGGACCCGACUCCUACGGGCGGCAGAAGUGGGGAAUAUUGGCCAUUGGGCGAAUGCCUGAUCCAGCCAUGCCGCGUGUGUGAAGAAGUUCUUCGGAUUGUAAAGCACUUUAAGUUGGGCGGCGUUACCAACAGAAUAAGCACCGGCUAACUUCGUGCCAGCAGCCGCGGUAAUAC
rnacentral:rRNA from 1 species